rnacentral:tRNA from 1 species
GCCUUCGUGGUGAAUUGGUCAGCACGCUUGACGCGUAACCGAGAGGUCCGUGGUUCGAUUCCCGGCGAAGGAG